UGAGGAAUAUUGGACAAUGGAUGGAAAUCUGAUCCAGCCAUGCCGCGUGCAGGAAGACGGCCCUAUGGGUUGUAAACUGCUUUUGUAUGGGAGCAAUAAGGACUACGUGUAGUUUGAUGAGAGUACCAUACGAAUAAGCAUCGGCUAACUCCGUGCCAGCAGCCGCGGUAAUACGGAGGAUGCGAGCGUUAUCCGGAUUUAUUGGGUUUAAAGGGUGCGUAGGCGGCGAUAUAAGUCAGUGGUGAAAUAUUUCGGCUUAACCGAGAGACUGCCAUUGAUACUGUGUCGCUAGAAUAUGGUUGCUGUGAGUGGAAUGUGUGGUGUAGCGGUGAAAUGCUUAGAUAUCACACAGAAUAUCGAUUGCGAAGGCAGCUCACAAAGCCAUUAUUGACGCUGAGGCACGAAAGUGUGGGGAUCAAACA
rnacentral:rRNA from 1 species